rnacentral:tRNA from 1 species
CGGGGAGUAGCGCAGUCCGGCUAGCGCGUCUGCUUUGGGAGCAGAAAGCCGUGGGUUCAAAUCCCACCUCCCCGACCA